rnacentral:tRNA from 1 species
UCCCAGGUGGCUCAGAGGUUAAAGCGUCUGCCUGCAAUAUGGGAGAUCCGGGUUCAAUCCCUGGGUUGGGAA